UACGUAGGGGGCAAGCGUUGUCCGGAUUUAUUGGGCGUAAAGAGCGUGUAGGCGGUCAGGUAGGUCGGUUGUGAAAACUGGAGGCUCAACCUUCAGAGGUCGACCGAAACCAUCUGGCUAGAGUCCGGGAGAGGAGAGUGGAAUUCCUGGUGUAGCGGUGAAAUGCGCAGAUAUCAGGAAGAACACCGAUGGCGAAGGCAGGUCUCUGGGCCGAUACUGACGCUGAGGAGCGAAAGCGUGGGGAGCGAACAGG
rnacentral:rRNA from 1 species